AACGGGUGGUGUAGCAAUACAUCAUUAGUGGCGAACGGGUGAGGGAUAUAUGGGUAAUCUACCCUUUAGACUGGGAUAAGCCUUCGAAAGGAGGUCUAAUACCGGAUACGCUCUUGGGAUCGCAUGAUCUCGAGAGGAAAGUUUUUUCGCUAAAGGAAGAGCCCAUAUCUGAUUAGCUAGUUGGUGGGGUAAAGGCCUACCAAGGCUACGAUCAGUAGCUGGUCUGAGAGGAUGGUCAGCCGCACUGGGACUGAGACACGGCCCAGACUCC
rnacentral:rRNA from 1 species